UUUAAUAUAGUUAUUUCAGAAAAUAAAAUAAAAAAUAAAAAAAUUCGGGUUAAACAGGUUGUGUUCGGGACUUCGGGUCAACCCGUGAAAUUUCGGGGUCGUGUUCGGGGUCAUAUGAAUGAUACGAUUUUUGGGUUCGGGUUCGUGUAAAAUUUUCGGGUUCGGGUCGGGUUAAACCCGCUAACCGGCGAACCCGACCCGUUUCGCACCCCUAAUUGAAGGUUUGAACCAUUCCUUAUUAAUAUUCUUUUAGCCCAAUCUUCUGAGGCUCUCAAAUUGGCAAUAUGGACAGGCAUGCGGGCUGAGUGACAGCUCCAAUCAAGCCCGGGUCAAAACAUAUCAUACUAGGCAGUUCAUUCAGGUGCAUAUAUUGAGUCUGCAAUAACAAAAUGCAUGGGCGAUAAAUCAUCUUCGGGUUUUUAUCCUCAAUAGAAGCGUCCGUUGACAAUGAUAUUGUUCUUUGUGAUGAUUUGUGUGAAGUUGAUACCGUCAAUUUUGUUUGGAUCUACCUCUAUUGAAAGCGCAAGAUUUUACUUUUGAAUCCAGAUGAUCUUGGUUAUAUGAACAAUGAAGUAGCAUCAACAUAAGAUAAGGGCUUGAUAUGCCUGGAGAUAAACAAGAGUUACCAGAUUCGCAUAUGACCCCAUAACUGCAAAGAGAAAUGUUGAGAGACUAGAGUACAAAACACUGUAUGAGGUGAGUUUUCACCUUUAUAAAGUUUGGUUGAGUUGGGUUGGGUUGUAUUUGAUCUUAAUCGGUCCAAUUUAAAAGAUUAAAACUAGCUCAAACGUAUUGAGUAAAAGAAAAGCUCAAAUAGGC